rnacentral:tRNA from 1 species
UCUUUGGUAGUUUAGGGGUUAUGACGGGACCUUGUCACUUCGGCAUGUCCAUCGCUUCGGCGGUCCAGACCCGGGUUCGAUUCCCGGCCAGAGAG